GCCUUCGUAGUGUAGUGGUCAGAACGCUCGGUGCGUAUUCGAGAGGUCGGUGGUUUGAAUCCCGGCGAGGGCA
rfam:Stegodyphus mimosarum contig36435, whole genome shotgun sequence.